ACAAAAGACUUGUUUAUAUUUGCUUGGUUUUUUUAUGUGCUCGUAACUCAAACGAAUCAAACAUAUUUAUUUAUGUGCAAUUUAAACAGUGUUUUGUUUAGUAAACUGUAAACGAAUAGACAUACUUCGCGAAAUGUAAUUUACACUGUGGGUUAAUGAUUAUUGCGGUGGCCGGUAACGCGGUUACAAAAUUAAAUUACAAACAUUCUAUGAGAAGUCCGGCCGUCGGAUAUUACCGCGAUCAUUAGUGCGAACGCUGAGUAUUUAUUUGUUGGAGUUAUUAAUAAGUAAAUUACUCCAAAAAGGAAACAAUUAUAUAUUUUUAAAUAUAUCGCGCACCGGAUGGCAGCACUGAAGUCGCAGCUAAGUAAAAAUUUAUACCUGCGCACUCUUCUUAUCAUCUGUGGCGCGUCUUCUACUAUCUGUCAGUAACCUAUGUGCCGAGUGUGGUGUUGUGUAGUUGUCGUUAAUUUCACGCUAAAAAUGGAAGAAGACCAAUCCGGCGAGGAGGAAUCCCAAGAUCAGCGUCAAUACGACGCUGAGCGCGAUGGAUCCGGCGCCAUAGCAGCUGCCAUCAGCUUCUUGUCCUUGUGCCACGUGCGCGAAGCAUAACAGAC